rnacentral:tmRNA from 1 species
GGGGGUGACUUGGCUUCGACGCCGGUUGGAAACCCGAAGUGCAUGCCGAGGUGUCAUGUCCUCGUAAAUCCCGUGGCAACCAAGCUAGUUGCGAACGACUCCAACUACGCCCUCGCCGCCUAAUCCCGGCGAGCGUCCGACCAGACGGUGUUGAUGCCCCUGAAUCGGAUGUCGACUCUCAUCAACUCGCAGUGAAGCCCGCCCUUGGCCGAUCUGCUAAACACUUAAGGGGAUAAGCGACGGCGUUCCGUGCCCCUCCGGCAGCCGAAGACCAAAAUCAAUGAGAAGGCUACGCAUGUAGAUCCAAGGGCGGAAAGCUGACGGACAGGGGUUCGAUUCCCCUCACCUCCACCA